rnacentral:rRNA from 1 species
UACGUAGGGGGCUAGCGUUGUCCGGAAUCAUUGGGCGUAAAGCGCGCGUAGGCGGCCCGGUAAGUCCGCUGUAAAAGUCAAAGGCUCAACCUUUGAAUGUCAGUGGAUACUGCCAUGACUCGAGUCCGGUAGGGGAGUGCGGAAUUCCUGGUGUAGCGGUGAAAUGCGCAGAUAUCAGGAGGAACACCGGUGGCGAAGGCGGCACUCUGGGCCGGUACUGACGCUGAGGAGCGAAAGCGUGGGGAGCGAACAGG